UUGAAUCCGAUGAUGCUGCACGGCGGUCAUCCGAGCCGGAAACGGCCAGGUGAUUGCCUAAAAGGAAAGGGGUGUAAUGCCCCAUGCGGUCGGCACUGUAAGCGCAAGGAUAUGAUCGAGGCGGGAAACCGCUGGGGCGAAAGCCCGUCAUUGCGAGAAAUCGUGAGAAGGUAGAUCAUAGACGCAGAGGAAAAUCCUCGUGGCGCAAGUCAGUAGAAUUGUGUAGUUUAGGAUUCCGGG
rnacentral:ncRNA from 2 species